CCACAUGAGUUGCAUCUUCCUGUAAAUAUGGACAAAGAAUAAGGUUGAUGGAAUUUUGAUGAUUGUUAAGUAAGCUGUAAGUCCUCAUAAAGGGACCAUGACACAUUC
rnacentral:snoRNA from 1 species